rnacentral:rRNA from 1 species
AUUGAACGCUGGCGGCAGGCUUAACACAUGCAAGUCGAGCGGGGGAGGUUGCUUCGGUAACUGACCUAGCGGCGGACGGGUGAGUAAUGCUUAGGAAUCUGCCUAUUAGUGGGGGACAACAUUCCGAAAGGGAUGCUAAUACCGCAUACGCCCUACGGGGGAAAGCAGGGGAUCUUCGGACCUUGCGCUAAUAGAUGAGCCUAAGUCGGAUUAGCUAGUUGGUGGGGUAAAGGCCUACCAAGGCGACGAUCUGUAGCGGGUCUGAGAGGAUGAUCCGCCACACUGGGACUGAGACACGGCCCAGACUCCUACGGGAGGCAGCAGUGGGGAAUAUUGGACAAUGGGCGGAAGCCUGAUCCAGCCAUGCCGCGUGUGUGAAGAAGGCCUUUUGGUUGUAAAGCACUUUAAGCGAGGAGGAGGCUCUUAAGGUUAAUACCCUUGAUGAGUGGACGUUACUCGCAGAAUAAGCACCGGCUAACUCUGUGCCAGCCGCCGCCGUAAUAC